AUACGGAGGGUCCAAGCGUUAUCCGGAAUCAUUGGGUUUAAAGGGUCCGCAGGCGGUCAAUUAAGUCAGAGGUGAAAGCCCAUCGCUCAACGAUGGAACUGCCUUUGAUACUGGUUGACUUGAGUUAUACGGAAGUAGAUAGAAUAAGUAGUGUAGCGGUGAAAUGCAUAGAUAUUACUUAGAAUACCGAUUGCGAAGACAGUCUACUACGUAUAUACUGACGCUGAGGGACGAAAGCGUGGGGAGCAAACAGGAUUAGAAACCCUAGUAGUCC
rnacentral:rRNA from 1 species